AGUGAACGCUGGCGGUAGGCCUAACACAUGCAAGUCGAACGGCAGCACAGUAAGAGCUUGCUCUUACGGGUGGCGAGUGGCGGACGGGUGAGGAAUACAUCGGAAUCUACUUUUUCGUGGGGGAUAACGUAGGGAAACUUACGCUAAUACCGCAUACGACCUACGGGUGAAAGCAGGGGAUCUUCGGACCUUGCGCGAUUGAAUGAGCCGAUGUCGGAUUAGCUAGUUGGCGGGGUAAAGGCCCACCAAGGCGACGAUCCGUAGCUGGUCUGAGAGGAUGAUCAGCCACACUGGAACUGAGACACGGUCCAGACGCCUACGGGAGGCAGCAGUGGGGAAUAUUGGACAAUGGGCGCAAGCCUUAUCCAGCCAUACCGCGUGGGUGAAGAAGGCCUUCGGGUUGUAAAGCCCUUUUGUUGGGAAAGAAAAGCAGCAGGUUAAUACCCCGCUGUUCUGACGGUACCCAAAGAAUAAGCACCGGCUAACUUCGUG
rnacentral:rRNA from 1 species